rnacentral:rRNA from 1 species
GACGAACGCUGGCGGCGUGCUUAACACAUGCAAGUCGAACGAAGAGCGAUGGAAGCUUGCUUCUAUCAAUCUUAGUGGCGAACGGGUGAGUAACGCGUAAUCAACCUGCCCUUCAGAGGGGGACAACAGUUGGAAACGACUGCUAAUACCGCAUACGAUCUAAUCUCGGCAUCGAGGAUAGAUGAAAGGUGGCCUCUACAUGUAAGCUAUCACUGAAGGAGGGGAUUGCGUCUGAUUAGCUAGUUGGAGGGGUAACGGCCCACCAAGGCGAUGAUCAGUAGCCGGUCUGAGAGGAUGAGCGGCCACAGUGGGACUGAGACACGGCCCAGACUCCUACGGGAGGCAGCAGUGGGGAAUCUUCCGCAAUGGACGAAAGUCUGACGGAGCAACGCCGCGUGAGUGAUGACGGCCUUCGGGUUGUAAAGCUCUGUUAAUCGGGACGAAAGGCCUUCUUGCGAAUAGUGAGAAGGAUUGACGGUACCGGAAUAGAAAGCCACGGCUAACUACGUG